CAGUCGCCACGGUAAUACGUAGGGUGCAAGCGUUAAUCGGAAUUACUGGGCGUAAAGCGUGCGCAGGCGGUUUUGUAAGACAGAGGUGAAAUCCCCGGGCUCAACCUGGGAACUGCCUUUGUGACUGCAAGGCUAGAGUACGGCAGAGGGUGAUGGAAUUCCGCGUGUAGCAGUGAAAUGCGUAGAUAUGCGGAGGAACACCGAUGGCGAAGGCAAUCCCCUGGGCCUGUACUGACGCUCAUGCACGAAAGCGUGGGGAGCAAACAGGAUUAGAUACCCGCGUAGUCCCUGUCUCUUAUAA
rnacentral:rRNA from 1 species